rnacentral:rRNA from 3 species
UGAUAACUCUCAGCAACGGAUAUCUCGGCUCUUGCAUCGAUGAAGAACGCAGCGAAAUGCGAUAAAUGGUGUGAAUUGCAGAAUCCCGUGAACCAUCGAGUCUUUGAACGCAAGUUGCGCCCGAGGCCAUCAGGCCAAGGGCACGCCUGCCUGGGCAUUGCGA